rnacentral:lncRNA from 1 species
GUGGAGGGUUUUGACUCAAGAAAAUGUUGGAAGAAGGUGGAGGAGAUCUGUUUUAGAUUUGAUCCUAUUUUAGAGAUGUAAGGCAUGGUAUUGCAGAAGGGUCAAGGGUUGGUUGAUUGCUUGAAGGAUGUGAUGGCUUCAAGUAGUUUUAAGGCAAAGUUUGAGAAGUUUGAUGGCAAGGAGAACUUCACCUUAUGGUAGCAACAGAUGAAGGAUUUGUUGGUACUGCAGCAGAUCUAUAAGA